UACGAAGGGGGCUAGCGUUGCUCGGAAUCACUGGGCGUAAAGCGCACGUAGGCGGCCUCUUAAGUCAGGGGUGAAAUCCUGGAGCUCAACUCCAGAACUGCCUUUGAUACUGGGAGUCUUGAGUUCGGGAGAGGUGAGUGGAACUGCGAGUGUAGAGGUGAAAUUCGUAGAUAUUCGCAAGAACACCAGUGGCGAAGGCGACUCACUGGCCCGAUACUGACGCUGAGGUGCGAAAGCGUGGGGAGCAAACAGG
rnacentral:rRNA from 1 species